AUGUAUCUUUCUUUCUUUAGCCCUUUCCAGGCCCAGGGUUACACCUUAUGCAGUCAUUCCACGUGUUUUCUUUGCCUCUGUUUGAAGGCCUGGGAGCACCCCACAGAGCACAGUGUUGUACUGACAGCAGUCCUACUGCCUAGUUAUCCUCUCAAAGAAAGGAUUCAUCAGGAACUUCUUUUUAUUUUGAAAGGAAGGGAUAAGACAGAGCUUUGCAAAAUAGAUGAUGGUUAGGGCUAGAUUCUGAACUCCAUCAGAUCUGGUGAGAAGUAUUUUCUUUCCUGAACACUCCCCCUGGAGCAGUGGCAUCUCUCAUUACAGGCACUGCAGGAGGGUGGCCUGGGGGCCCAGAAAGGCAAAAAAUGUUGUCCAGCUAGUUAUUCACUUUCAUUAUGAGGAUUUGGAAAGCAUGGAUGGCCUCAUAUUUCUGGAGGAUUUACUAGGAGAGGUGCUGAGAUUGUAAACGGAGUUCCAGCUUGCCUUCUCCUCCAUUGGGAAAGUUGGGUUUCAGGCAUUGUAGAGGAAACRUGGUAGAAACUUUGCAGCCCUGAGUUAGGAGAGGUGGUGUCUCAGGAUGGUGUACAACCACAGUGCAAAAUACCGAAAGGGGGGUGAGGGGUAGUUUGUUUUAUACAGCACUUAUAACCAGUCCCUUUUGGUCUGAAAAAGCCUCUGUGAAUAAUCGCGGAGCACAGUCUGUGGCUGAGAACAGGUGUGGAGGAAAAGCAGCAAUAUUACUGCUUGUUACAUACGUGGGGAAAUGAAAAUUGGUAGGAGCUUAGACUCACCGCAGGACUUCCACUGACUGUUACAGGAUCAGGCUAUCAGGUCACCCUUUCUGUCUCAGCAGGCAGAUGUGCUGUGGUCCAAAGCCUUGGGGUUUCUAGCSGAGGGAGAAGCAGGAAACAACAGACACCAGUGAAACUGAUUUAAUAUUAAUUCUUGUUAUAUAAAAUCAUUUGGGGACUGUUAGGUCCACUGGUCACUUACCACACAAGCCAGAUGUAUCGUAUUGCAAAUGUCUUGGUUCUGAAGCUGCUGUUCUCAAUGCAGAGAUUCCCAGUGGGGUUUCCUCUUUACUCAGGAUAUCGAGUACUUGGGCAGCUCUGCAUGUCAUAACUUUAUACAGACUAAAGUGCAAUUGUGUGCAUUCAUUACAUAGUUUGCCUUAGGACUAUGUGGAAUUUCUGUGGUUUGAGGUUUAUGUUUGGUAUAAUCAGUGUUCAUAAUUCAYCUACUACUUAAUUUUACAAAAGUAUCCAUUUUGCUUUCUUUUUUUUUAAUGUUUAUUUGACUUGGUGAUCUUAAAYCUACAGUGGAGCAGAUAAGGCUGUGCUGGAACGCUUAAAAGUUCUUUUAAUAAAGAUUUGGCUUCCAGACUUGUGUCA
rnacentral:lncRNA from 1 species